rnacentral:tRNA from 1 species
GCCUGGGUAGCUUAGUGGUAAAGCACAUUCUUGGUAAGAAUGAGACCGUGAGUUCAAUCCUCACUCCAGGCU